UACGUAGGGGGGCUAGCGUUGUCCGGAAUCAUUGGGCGUAAAGAGCGUGUAGGCGGUCCGGUAAGUCCGCUGUGAAAGUCGGGGGGCUCAACCCUCGAAUGCCGGUGGAUACUGUCGGGCUAGAGUGCGGAAGAGGCGAGUGGAAUUCCUGGUGUAGCGGUGAAAUGCGCAGAUAUCAGGAGGAACACCUAUUGCGAAGGCAGCUCGCUGGGACGUAACUGACGCUGAGACGCGAAAGCGUGGGAGCAAACAGG
rnacentral:rRNA from 1 species